rnacentral:lncRNA from 1 species
GUGAAUUGUAUGACUAAUAAUACAGCACAAUAAAAGGUGAAGGGGGGUUGCUACCAGCUGGGAGGAUAUAUUGCAUCAUUGCUGACCACACAUGGAAAACUAUCAGCAUCCAUUUAAUAUUUGGGAAGGAAGAGCGGGUUGUGCUUGGCCAACAGGACACAACGGAAAGCUUUUUCAGCCAUGAAUUAAUGACAAGGACAAAAAUUCCCGUUUGUUCCUUCAUGGAGAUGCUCCGUUGCUGCCGGACUCCAGCCAGGCCCCUCUGUCCUCCUGGUACAACUGCUGGGGAUGCAAGAAGCCCCUCUCAGGUGAGGAAGAAGAAAUGGAUUGGAAUUGCAGCAAGCCCCAAGGUUGAGGAGAAAAGCAUGGAUCCUCAGACUGCAUCAACGGUGUGUGACAACCUUGGGACUGAGAAAUGGAGAAUUUCCUCCAACACCUUCCCCUAG